UACAGAGGGGGCAAGCGUUGUUCGGAAUUACUGGGCGUAAAGGGCGCGUAGGCGGCCUUCUAAGUCGAACGUGAAAUCCCCGGGCUCAACCCGGGAACUGCGUCCGAUACUGGAAGGCUUGAAUCCGGGAGAGGGAUGCGGAAUUCCAGGUGUAGCGGUGAAAUGCGUAGAUAUCUGGAGGAACACCGGUGGCGAAGGCGGCAUCCUGGACCGGCAUUGACGCGUGAGGCGCG
rnacentral:rRNA from 1 species